GUGCUUGCUCAGGCAGCACAUGUGAUGAAUUGGAAUCAAUACAGAGAAGAUUAGCAGCUCCUGGAGGCGCAAGGAUCACAUGCAAAUUUGUGAAGCGUUUCCACAUUUU
rnacentral:snRNA from 1 species